GGACAGGUGGUGCAUGGUUGUCGGUCAGCUCGUGUCGUGAGAUGUUGGGUUAAGUCCCGCAACGAGCGCACCCCUCGACCUUAGUUGCCAGCAUUCAGUUGGGCACUCUAAGGUGACUGCCGGCUAAAAGUCGGAGGAAGGUGGGGAUGACGUCAAAUCAUCAUGCCCCUUAUGACCUGGGCUACACACGUGCUACAAUGGGCGGUACAAAGGGUCGCGAACCCGCGAGGGGGAGCCAAUCCCAAAAAGCCGCUCUCAGUUCGGAUUGCAGGCUGCAACUCGCCUGCAUGAAGCCGGAAUCGCUAGUAAUCGCGGAUCAGCAUGCCGCGGUGAAUACGUUCCCGGGCCUU
rnacentral:rRNA from 1 species